AUUGAACGCUGGCGGCAUGCUUUACACAUGCAAGUCGAACGGUAACAGGCCUUCGGGUGCUGACGAGUGGCGAACGGGUGAGUAAUGCAUCGGAACGUACCCAGAGGUGGGGGAUAACGCAGCGAAAGCUGUGCUAAUACCGCAUGUGAUCUGAGGAUGAAAGCGGGGGACCGAGCAGCAAUGUUUGGCCUCGCGCCUUUGGAGCGGCCGAUGUCGGAUUAGCUAGUUGGUGGGGUAAAGGCCUACCAAGGCGACGAUCCGUAGCUGGUCUGAGAGGACGACCAGCCACACUGGGACUGAGACACGGCCCAGACUCCUACGGGAGGCAGCAAUGGGGAAUUUUGGACAAUGGGCGCAAGCCUGAUCCAGCAAUGCCGCGUGCGGGAAGAAGGCCUUCGGGCUGUAAACCGCUUUUGGCAGGAACGAAACGGUGUCCGCUAAUACCGGGCGCUAAUGACGGUACCUGCAGAAUAAGCACCGGCUAACUACGUG
rnacentral:rRNA from 1 species